AAAGAAAUCGGUUUAGUGAGAGCUAAGAAACAGUGGCGACAGAAAAAAUAAUAUCAUAGUAAAAUUCUCAGCUUUGCAUCUCAACUAAAAUAAUUAAAUGUAUUUCACUCAAAUAUUCCCCAUUAUAAAAUCUAUAGUUGCAUAUUUAAUAAUUUCAGAAAAUUUCGGUAAAAUUGUCAUGAAAAUUUUUGAAAAAUAUUAAAAUUUAUUAGACGACAGAACGACAGGUGUUAUUUACACCUGUCGUUCGUAGGACGUAGAUCGUCAAAAAGCAGAUUUAGAGCAUUUGACGAUGGCGCUCGGUAGUGGUUCGCAGUCAAAGUUAAAAGUUCUGUUAUGUCAAUAUUUAAUACUAUUCUUUGCUAACCUAAAAAUUUUGAUAAAAUAACAUUUUUUUAAAGAAGUCAAACAAUGUAUAAUUUGUUUGGAAGAACUGAAAGAAUAUAUUACUGAACAUGACUGUGGUAAUCAAUAUCAUGAAAAAUGUCUUUGGCAAUGGAAGAAAAUAAGCAACAACCAAGGUUGUCCCAUUUGCCAUUAUAUUUUAAAUCCUGAAUGUACUUACUGUGCCCAUUCAAUUCGACCAGUGUAUAGGUACCAUUUUCAUACUACAUGUUGCAAUGGAAGAAUAUGUAAAGUUUGUUACGAGUUUUAUAAAAUGAGUAAUUUUAACGUAAUAUGUAGAUAUUGCAAAAUAGAAAAAAAUAUUCCAGUAUUUAAAAAAGCUAUAAUAAUUCCAUGUGUAAAAUGCAAAAAAAAUAAAGCAAACCAUAAUGUUUCUUCAAAAUGCCUUCAUUAUUAUUGUAAAAAAUGUACAGAAGAAAAUAUAUCAGCUAAUAAAUGGUGUAUGCUAUGUUCGAAACAUUUAGAAGAUAGAAAUUGGAAAAGGUGGUUUCAUAAAUAAGUUUUAUUUUAUUAAUGUAAAUUUGCUUAUUAAUUCCAAACUUAUUAAUUAAAUUAAAUUAACUUAGCUUAUUAAUUUUUUGAAAAUAUAUUAAUUGUAUAAAAUAAUAUAUUUUUAAUUUGA